rnacentral:rRNA from 1 species
CCUACGGGUGGCAGCAGUGGGGAAUAUUGGUCAAUGGGCGGAAGCCUGAACCAGCCAAGUCGCGUGAGGGAUUAAGGCCCUCUGGGUCGUAAACCUCUUUUGUCAGGGAGCAAGGUCGUCUACGUGUGGGCGUAUGGAGAGUACCUGCCGCAAAAGCAUCGGCUAACUCCGUGCCAGCAGCCGCGGUAAUACGCGGGAUGCGAGCGUUAUCCGGAUUUAUUGGGUUUAAAGGGUGCGUAGGCGGUACCUUAAGUCCGCGGGAAAAUUGCGGUGUUCAACGCCGUAGAGCAGUUGAAACUGUGGCUCGUGAGUGAGCGAGAAGUAUGCGGAAGGCGUGGUGUAGCGGUGAAAUGCAUAGAUAUCACGCAGAACCCCGAUUGCGAAGGCAGCAUACCGGCGCUCAACUGACGCUGAGGCACGAAAGUGCGGGUAUCGAACAGGAUUAGAUACCCUGGUAGUC